AGCCCCGUACACAAAAAUGCACAUGCUGUGAGCUCGAUGAGUAGGGCGGGACACGUGGUAUCCUGUCUGAAUAUGGGGGGACCAUCCUCCAAGGCUAAAUACUCCUGACUGACCGAUAGUGAACCAGUACCGUGAGGGAAAGGCGAAAAGAACCCCGGCGAGGGGAGUGAAAAAGAACCUGAAACCGUGUACGUACAAGCAGUGGGAGCACAGAGCAAUCUGUGUGACUGCGUACCUUUUGUAUAAUGGGUCAGCGACUUAUAUUCUGUAGCAAGGUUAACCGAAUAGGGGAGCCGAAGGGAAACCGAGUCUUAACUGGGCGUUAAGUUGCAGGGUAUAGACCCGAAACCCGGUGAUCUAGCCAUGGGCAGGUUGAAGGUUGGGUAACACUAACUGGAGGACCGAACCGACUAAUGUUGAAAAAUUAGCGGAUGACUUGUGGCUGGGGGUGAAAGGCCAAUCAAACCGGGAGAUAGCUGGUUCUCCCCGAAAGCUAUUUAGGUAGCGCCUCGUGAAUUCAUCUCCGGGGGUAGAGCACUGUUUCGGCAAGGGGGUCAUCCCGACUUACCAACCCGAUGCAAACUGCGAAUACCGGAGAAUGUUAUCACGGGAGACACACGGCGGGUGCUAACGUCCGUCGUGAAGAGGGAAACAACCCAGACCGCCAGCUAAGGUCCCAAAGUCAUGGUUAAGUGGGAAACGAUGUGGGAAGGCCCAGACAGCCAGGAUGUUGGCUUAGAAGCAGCCAUCAUUUAAAGAAAGCGUAAUAGCUCACUGGUCGAGUCGGCCUGCGCGGAAGAUGUAACGGGGCUAAACCAUG
rnacentral:rRNA from 1 species